rnacentral:rRNA from 1 species
UACGUAGGGUGCAAGCGUUGUCCGGAAUUAUUGGGCGUAAAGAGCUCGUAGGCGGCUUGUCGCGUCGAAUGUGAAAUCUCAGGGCUCAACUCUGACAUUGCAUUCGAUACGGGCAGGCUAGAGUUCGGUAGGGGAGACUGGAAUUCCUGGUGUAGCGGUGAAAUGCGCAGAUAUCAGGAGGAACACCGAUGGCGAAGGCAGGUCUCUGGGCCGAUACUGACGCUGAGGAGCGAAAGCGUGGGGAGCGAACAGG